rnacentral:tRNA from 1 species
GCUUUCGUGGCUCAGGUGGUAGAGCGACUGAUUCGUAAUCAGUAGAUCGAGGGUUCGAGUCCCUUCGGAAGCU